rnacentral:rRNA from 1 species
GACGAACGCUGGCGGCGUGCCUAAUACAUGCAAGUCGAGCGGAAAGGCCAUGCUCUUGUGCCAUGCUCGUGAGCAGAACAGGGGUGAGUAACGCGUGUAAAAUCUCCCUGUCUUUGGGGGAAAAUCUGGAGAAUGGGGCUCUAAUACCAUAUAAGCUCUUGAAGCACGGGGGUGAAUGGUGAAAUACGGCGGUUCGGGAUGGAAUGGCGGCCUAUCAGCUUGUUGGGGAGGUAGUGACUUAACAAGGCUUCGACGGGUAGCCGGCCUGAGAGUGUGACCGGCCACAAUGGGACUGAGGUAGGGCCCAGACGGCAACGGGAGGCAGCGGUGGAGAAUAUUGCACAAUGGGCCGAAGCCUGAUGCAGCGACGUCGCGUGCGAGAUGACUGCCUUCGGGGUAUAAACCUCUUUCGCCUGUGACGAAGCGUGAGUGACGGUAAUUAGUAAGGAAGCACCGGCUAACUACGUG